GAUGAACGCUAGCGACAGGCUUAACACAUGCAAGUCGAGGGGCAGCGGGGUGUAGCAAUACACCGCCGGCGACCGGCGCACGGGUGAGUAACGCGUAUGCAACUUGCCUAUCAGAGGGGGAUAACCCGGCGAAAGUCGGACUAAUACCGCAUGAAGCAGGGGCCCCGCAUGGGGAUAUUUGCUAAAGAUUCAUCGCUGAUAGAUAGGCAUGCGUUCCAUUAGGCAGUUGGCGGGGUAAUGGCCCACCAAACCGACGAUGGAUAGGGGUUCUGAGAGGAAGGUCCCCCACAUUGGUACUGAGACACGGACCAAACUCCUACGGGAGGCAGCAGUGAGGAAUAUUGGUCAAUGGGCGUAAGCCUGAACCAGCCAAGUCGCGUGAGGGAUGAAGGUUCUAUGGAUCGUAAACCUCUUUUAUAAGGGAAUAAAGUGCGGGACGUGUCCCGUUUUGUAUGUACCUUAUGAAUAAGGAUCGGCUAACUCCGUGCCAGCAGCCGCGGUAAUACGGAGGAUCCGAGCGUUAUCCGGAUUUAUUGGGUUUAAAGGGUGCGUAGGCGGCCUUUUAAGUCAGCGGUGAAAGUCUGUGGCUCAACCAUAGAAUUGCCGUUGAAACUGGGGGGGCUUGAGUAUGUUUGAGGCAGGCGGAAUGCGUGGUGUAGCGGUGAAAUGCUUAGAUAUCACGCAGAACCCCGAUCGCGAAGGCAGCCUGCCAAGCCAUGACUGACGCUGAUGCACGAAAGCGUGGGGAUCANACAGG
rnacentral:rRNA from 1 species